rnacentral:rRNA from 1 species
AGGACGAGCGCUGGCGGCGUGCUUAAAACAUGCAAGUCGAACGGACUUCUCAUGAAGCUUGCGAUUGAGAAGUUAGUGGCGGACGGGUGAGUAACGCGUGGGCAACCUGCCCCUGAGCCCGGGAUAACAGUUCGAAAGGACUGCUAAGACCGGAUAUACUUGCGGUGAAGCAUUUCACUGCAAGGAAAGGGAACGCUCAGGGAUGGGCCCGCGUCCCAUUAGCUAGUUGGUGAGGUAACGGCCCACCAAGGCGACGAUGGGUAGCCGGCCUGAGAGGGUGAACGGCCACACUGGGACUGAGACACGGCCCAGACUCCUACGGGAGGCAGCAGUUGGGAAUCUUCGGCAAUGGGCGCAAGCCUGACCGAGCAACGCCGCGUGAGUGAUGAAGGUUUUCGGAUUGUAAAGCUCUGUCUUCCGGGACGAUAAUGACGGUACCGGAGGAGGAAGCCACGGCUAACUACGUG